rnacentral:tRNA from 1 species
GCCUAGAUAGCUCAGUGGCAGAGCGCAGGACUGAAAAUCCUGAGGUCGGUGGUUCGAUGCCGCCUCUGGGCA